UUUUUUGUUUUGUUUUGUUUUUUUUGAAGCAAAAUAUUUAAAUGCAAAAUCUCACAAUGACAUUAAUAAUCCUAGUCAAAUGUUUGUUAUGAAUUAUAAUUUGAUGAAGUUACAAAUUAAUAAGUUGCUAAUUAAUUUUUGUUACAAAUGACAUAAUUGUUUUAUCUAUGACUGGUCUUAUCUGGCUUUGCAGGUAAGCAGUAGAAAAUCUGCAGAGUCUAGGACAGGGAGUCAAGGGAAGUGUUGAGUGAAUGAGCCUGGGAAGGGUAUGGAAGCUGGGAUAGAAAGACCAUUUCUGGGGACAGAUGAGAGGCUUAGAGGGAGAUAAGAUCUUUGGUCUUAGAUCUUGGUAUUUUGGUCUGGUUUACUCGCUGUGCAACCCUGAACAAGUUUUUUCAUCUUUAUGACUGCUAUAAUCUGAAUGUGUAUGUCCUCCAACUCCCAUCAAAUUCAAAUGCUGAAGUCCUAAUACCCAAUGAGAUGGCAGAAGUAGGUGGGGCCUUUGGGAGAUGUUUAAAUCAUUAAAAUGGAGCAUUCAUGAAUGAGAUUAGUGUUCUUGUAAAAGAGGCUCCAGAGAGAUCCUUCACUCCUUCCACCAUGUAAAGAUGUAGUGAGAAGGCACUGGCUAUGAACCAGAUAGAGGGAUUCUAUCAGACUCUGACCAUGGUGGCACCUUGAUCUUGGAAUUUCCAGUCUCCUGAACUUUUAGAAUACAGUUCUAUUUAUUAUAAGCCACCCAGUCUGUGGGAUUUUUGUUAUGGCAGCCUAAAUAGACUAACACAAUGACCUUAGACUCCUCAUCUGAAAGUAGUAAUAGACAAUAGGUCAUAAAAUUGCUUUAGGGGCUAAAUUUAAAUGAUGCAUAUAAAGUGAUGAGCAAAGUGCACAGUAAGUUCACAAAAAAUGGCAACAACAAUAAUUUAUAUAAUUAUUCAUAGCUGGUCUCCACUGGGUUACUUAGGAGAUCAUUAACUAUCAUUCAAUAAAUAAAGUUUUCUAUUACAAAUUACAGUGCAUGGUACAAAUAGGCGACAAUGUAAGGAGCAAUGUAACUACAAAUCUACCUGGAAUACCUACUCCACACCUUUUAAUUACUAACUCAUAUUUCAGGCCACUGUCUACUUUACUCACAUCACAAUUCUCAUGGUCUGUAUCAUGAGGGCUCGUGUACAUCAAGUA
rnacentral:lncRNA from 1 species